UGUGUGUGUGUGUGUGUGUGUGUGUGUGUGUGUGUGUCUAUGACAGACAUACUGACAUACUGACACAUACACACACUGACAUACACACACACACACACACA